rnacentral:rRNA from 1 species
AUUGAACGCUGGCGGCAUGCCUUACACAUGCAAGUCGAACGGUAACGGGCCUUCGGGUGCCGACGAGUGGCGAACGGGUGAGUAAUGUAUCGGAACGUACCUUUCAGUGGGGGAUAACGUAGCGAAAGUUACGCUAAUACCGCAUAUUCUGUGCGCAGGAAAGCAGGGGACCUUCGGGCCUUGCGCUGAUUGAGCGGCCGAUAUCAGAUUAGCUAGUUGGUGAGGUAAAGGCUAACCAAGGCGACGAUCUGUAGCGGGUCUGAGAGGAUGAUCCGCCACACUGGAACUGAGACACGGUCCAGACUCCUACGGGAGGCAGCAGUGGGGAAUUUUGGACAAUGGGGGCAACCCUGAUCCAGCCAUGCCGCGUGAGUGAAGAAGGCCUUCGGGUUGUAAAGCUCUUUCGGCCGGGAAGAAAUCGUAUCAGCUAAUACCUGGUGCGGAUGACGGUACCGGCAUAAGAAGCACCGGCUAACUACGUGCCAGCCGCCGCCGUAACAC